AGACAAAUAGCUUAAAUAAGAAAGCGCGGCGUUGAAGGUGCCCAGACAGGUCUAACCUUUUGUUUA
rnacentral:tRNA from 1 species